CGCUCUUUUAAUGUAGAGAAAAUAGAAAAUAGAUGUUUAUAUAAACAGCUAAUAGAAUUAUGAUAGUGAUUUUAAAAAUAACAAGCGAAUCAUGAGAUUCUAUUAUAUUUCUCGACAGUCUGGAUUCUAUUAUAUUUCUCGACUUACGUCUCUGCAGCUGGAUCAGGCUUUAUUAGGAGCUCUGAUCGAGAGAUGGAAACGGAAGACCUAGACUUUUCACUUCCGCCACGGUGAGAUGACGAUUACACUUAAAAAUAUGGCGGUUAUUUCUAGUCUUCGUAUCGAUGGAACGCCUGUCACUGGGACUAUAGUGUAUCCGUGGCCAGAGAUAUAUCAGGCGCUUUUAGGGAUUGUGCCGGAUUACAUUCGAGCUAGUCAGAUUUGAUUAGAUUGGAUAUACCAGCACUUCCACCAUAUACAUUUGGAUGCCUUUGCUGGAUUAGUUGCAGCCACAGCACGUGCAUAUAUGUUAUAUCAGAUUGGCUGUAAUCUAUUUCCAAACCCCACCGGAUAUAGAGUUCACUUUAAGUGGCUGUCACUUUUAGCGGAUUUUGAUGCAUGUGGCGGUUUAGCCUGGGGUGCAGCAGCAUUGGCCUAUCUUUAUCAAGUAUUGGGAUCGGCUUCAUUAAAAGGAAAGGUGGACGAACGCCGGCGGGUUACAUUUUAGAGCAAACGUCCGGACGACGGAUAUUGAGUUCUACCGAGAUGAGUUAGAUGAGUAUAGAGUCCCAGAUACGUAUUAAUGCAACCAUUAUUUUCAAUAUACAAACGUACUAAUACAUUCAGCUGACUAUUAUUGACUUUUGCACAUAUUAUAUGGUGGCCGUAUACAGAUGCUAUUAUAGCUGCGCUACCGGCAUUCUGUGUAUAGGGCAGUGAGGUUUGGCGAUCGAGGACGACACUGAUUUCUUUCCAUAUUAUUGAGCUUCACGCCCCGGAUCAAGUCCUACGGCAGUUUGGUCUCCUCCAGCAUAUACCCAUUCACGUGGAGACCAUCAUCCAUUGUAUCACUUCUCUUGGGCGGCCAGAUGAGGAUUGAGCCCACUUUCAUGUUGCACACAUCGAGAGAUAGGGACAGAGAUUACAGGUUAUUAUUGACCAGCUGUCGAUUGUCGGUGAAGACCCGAUACAGACGACCUCUGUUUAUAUGCAGUGGUAUAGGCAGAUUACGAGAAGAUGGAUUUCUCGUCCGGUGGAUGCAUUACGACAGACUCAGUAUAGCAUCGAAGAACUAGUUCAUGAUUCACCUUCUUACGGUACGAUGCUGGAGACAUUGACGGGCAUGUAUGCCCAUAUUGAAUUAGUGCUGGAGCACAUUCCUUACAUACCUGUCGUCGCUAUGUUGGAGGUCGAGAUUUUGGUCAUGUCUCGACAUCGGGUCAUCACAGGAGACAAUCACCGACUCCUACUGGAUCUUACUCGACAUCGAGCCUGCGAGUGUUACGAUCUCCAUCUCCUACUGAUGUUGCAGAUAUGCCCGCCGCCCCUUCGAGAUUUCUUUUUUUGACAUUGGACUUGGAUUUACUUCCACCGUGAGUCUCUCGAGUGCGUCAUCAUCACAGCCCCGCCCAGCAUCUACACCGACCACUAUCGAGGGUGAUCGACCUGAGCCAGAGGAGACUCAGGCAAUUCCGGAGCAUCCCGAGAGUAUUAUCAUUGCGGAUCUUAAUCAGCUGGCCGAUAUCGAGACACUUGAUGACGUAAAUAUUGCUGACCUUGAUGUGGCUCGUGGCCGUAGACGUGGACAUGGCCGAGGACGUCGAAGGAGAGGAAGAUCGAGAGACUGAUUGUAUAUUAUUGAUUUAGAUCGCAUAUUUUGUAUAAUAUUAUAUAAUACUUUAUUUAGUUCAUAUUUUUA